AAACUUUUUCGAUAGCAUUAGCUGGUUACAGGUCUGGCGAGUGUUUCGCCAGGCCCAGUUGCCACGUAAUGUG
rnacentral:sRNA from 17 species